AAUCAGAAGUCAGGCUGAUGUCCUUACAACAGAACUGGAAACUACAUCUUCAAAAUGUCUACACCUGGAUGCAAAAAAUCAAGUUCUUCAACAAGAGUUGUUAUCAAUGAAAGCUUUCGAAGAAGAAUGUGAAAAACUGGAGAGCAAUAACAAGAAGUUACAGCAAGAAGUAGUAAAAUUGAAACAAUUUAUGGAAAUGAAUAUGGUAGAACGCAGUCACGUGGAACAGUAUAAACGGGAGAUUGAAGAAAGAGCACGACUGGACAUAGUAGAAAAAUUACACGAAGUCAACCUGUUUUAACAGGCACAAGCAGCAGCUCGAGAAAACUUGGACCAGUUAAGAGAAAAUGCUCAUGCUUCAACGAGAAGUCUAAUGGAACUUAGAAUUAAAGAUCUGGAAUCUCAGGUCUCUACAAUGAAGACUUCUCAAGAAGAUUCUACUAAAACAGAGUUGGAAACCUACAGGCAACUCUACCUAGAAGAAGUAAAAGUUAGAAAGUCCUUGAGAAAUAAGCUGAACAGGACUAAUGAGAGACUCAGAGAGCAAUACAAAACUUCUUGUGGAGAGACAGCAGCACCAAACUUUACUCAGGACUCUUACUAUGAGCCCAGGCCUGGAACCACCUUAUUGUGGACAUUUUGAAAAUAAUUUAGUGCUCAAUGGAAACCUUACUCCAAGAGGAAGCUUAGUGAUUCCUACCUUAAACCCACGGCCGUCAUAUGACUACAGGGAGACUUCCUUGUGGAAGGUUAGUUAUAUUAUCUGUUUUAGUUUGGGUUUCAGAUAUCUGAUAUAAUUGUUGCUUUUAAUUUGGUGAAAUUCUGAGUUGUUUAAGUAACCAAUACAUACGAAGUAAAAGUCAUAAUUAUAUGUGCUAAGAAAGA